GAUCCUGGCUCAGGAUGAACGCUGGCGGCGCGCCUAACACAUGCAAGUCGAACGGCACCUAUCUUCGGAUAGAAGCGAGUGGCGAACGGCUGAGUAACACGUGGAGAACCUGCCCCCUCCCCCGGGAUAGCCGCCCGAAAGGACGGGUAAUACCGGAUACCCCGGGGGUGCCGCAUGGCACCCCGGCUAAAGCCCCGACGGGAGGGGAUGGCUCCGCGGCCCAUCAGGUAGACGGCGGGGUGACGGCCCACCGUGCCGACAACGGGGUAGCCGGGUUG
rnacentral:rRNA from 1 species